GAUGGCGUCUCCUUCAGUUACAGCCUUUCCCCCUUUCUGCAUGAGCAAACUCUCCGCGGUCCAACCCUUCUCCCAGCCUUCCCAGGUCAAAGCAAGUGUCAGAUCUGGAUCUGUUAGCUUGAAGAAGCUGCACCC